UACGUAGGUGGCGAGCGUUGUCCGGAAUUACUGGGUGUAAAGGGCGUGUAGGCGGGACUGUAAGUCAGAUGUGAAAUUCCAGGGCUUAACCCUGGAGCUGCAUCUGAAACUAUGGUUCUUGAGUGCUGGAGAGGAAAGCGGAAUUCCUAGUGUAGCGGUGAAAUGCGUAGAUAUUAGGAGGAACACCAGUGGCGAAGGCGGCUUUCUGGACAGUAACUGACGCUGAGGCGCGAAAGCGUGGGGAGCAAACAGGAUUAGAUACCCUGGUAGUCCACGCUGUAAACGAUGGAUACUAGGUGUAGGAGGUAUCGACCCCUUCUGUGCCGCAGUUAACACAAUAAGUAUCCCACCUGGGGAGUACGGCCGCAAGGUUGAA
rnacentral:rRNA from 1 species